GUGCUCACAUCAGCAGCACAUAUACUAAAAUUGGAAUGAUACGGAGUAGAUUAGCAUGGCCCCUGUGCAAGGAUGACACACAAAUUCGUGAAGCAUUCCAUAUUUUU
rnacentral:snRNA from 1 species